CAACUACUCCCUCUGUUCGGAAUUACUUGUCUCAGAAAUGGAUGUAUCUAGAACUAAAAUACGUCUAGAUACAUCCAUAUCUGCGACAAGUAAUUCCGAACGGAGGGAGUAGUUG
rnacentral:pre_miRNA from 1 species